rfam:Bacteroides sp. 43_108 Ley3_66761_scaffold_113, whole genome shotgun sequence.
GCUUCAGUAGCUCAGUUGGUUAGAGCACAUGACUGUUAAUCAUGGGGUCGUUGGUUCAAGCCCAUCCUGAAGCG